rnacentral:rRNA from 1 species
CCUACGGGUGGCUGCAGUGGGGAAUAUUGCACAAUGGGCGCAAGCCUGAUGCGGCCAUGCCGCGUGUGUGAAGAAGGCCUUCGGGUUGUAAAGCACUUUCAGCGGGGAGGAAGGCGUUAAGGUUAAUAACCUUGGCGAUUGACGUUACCCGCAGAAGAAGCACCGGCUAACUCCGUGCCAGCAGCCGCGGUAAUACGGAGGGUGCAAGCGUUAAUCGGAAUUACUGGGCGUAAAGCGCACGCAGGCGGUCUGUCAAGUCGGAUGUGAAAUCCCCGGGCUCAACCUGGGAACUGCAUUCGGAACUGGCAGGCUAGAGUCUUGUAGAGGGGGGUAAAAUUCCCGGUGUAGCGGUGAAAUGCGUAGGGAUCUGGAGGAAUACCGGUGGCGAAGGCGGCCCCCUGGACAAAGACUGACGCUCAGGUGCGAAAGCGUUGGGAGCAAACAGGAUUAGAUACCCCAGUAGUC